AUUGAACGCUGGCGGCAGGCUUAACACAUGCAAGUCGAGCGGGGUGAUGGUGCUUGCACUAUCACUUAGCGGCGGACGGGUGAGUAAUGCUUAGGAAUCUGCCUAUUAGUGGGGGACAACAUCUCGAAAGGGAUGCUAAUACCGCAUACGUCCUACGGGAGAAAGCAGGGGAUCACUUGUGACCUUGCGCUAAUAGAUGAGCCUAAGUCGGAUUAGCUAGUUGGUGGGGUAAAGGCCUACCAAGGCGACGAUCUGUAGCGGGUCUGAGAGGAUGAUCCGCAUCACUGGGACUGAGGCGCGGCCCAGAGGCCUACGGGAGGCAGCAGUGGGGAAUAUUGGACAAUGGGGGGAACCCUGGUCCAGCCAUGCCGCGUGUGUGAAGAAGGCCUUAUGGUUGUAAAGCACUUUAAGCGAGGAGGAGGCUCUUUUGGUUAAUGCCCAAGAUGAGUGGACGUUACUCGCAGAAUAAGCACCGGCUAACUCUGUGCCAGCCGCCGCAGUAA
rnacentral:rRNA from 1 species